CUGGCUCAGGAUGAACGCUAGCGGCAGGCUUAACACAUGCAAGUCGAGGGGUAUGCUUCUUCGGAAGCAGA
rnacentral:rRNA from 1 species